GCGAGUGUGGUGAAAUUGGUAGACACGCCAGAUUUAGGUUCUGGUGCCGCAAGGUGUGGGGGUUCAAGUCCCUUCACUCGCA
rnacentral:tRNA from 1 species